rnacentral:rRNA from 1 species
GAUGAACGCUGGCGGCAUGCCUAAUACAUGCAAGUCGAGCGAAUGGAUUAAGAGCUUGCUCUUAUGAAGUUAGCGGCGGACGGGUGAGUAACACGUGGGUAACCUGUCCAUAAGACUGGGAUAACUCCGGGAAACCGGGGCUAAUACCGGAUAACAUUUUGAACCGCAUGGUUCGAAAUUGAAAGGCGGCUUCGGCUGUCACUUAUGGAUGGACCCGCGUCGCAUUAGCUAGUUGGUGAGGUAACGGCUCACCAAGGCAACGAUGCGUAGCCGACCUGAGAGGGUGAUCGGCCACACUGGGACUGAGGCACGGCCCAGACUCCUACGGGAGGCAGCAGUAGGGAAUCUUCCGCAAUGGACGAAAGUCUGACGGAGCAACGCCGCGUGAGUGAUGAAGGCUUUCGGGUCGUAAAACUCUGUUGUUAGGGAAGAACAAGUGCUAGUUGAAUAAGCUGGCACCUUGACGGUACCUAACCAGAAAGCCACGGCUAACUACGUGCCAGCCGCCGCAGUAA